UGCCCAGCAACUCCUAUCCCUACCUCCUCGCGGUAACGGCCGGAAACUAUGAGACACCUUAGAUCGGGUAACCAUCCCCGGUGGGAACUUUGGUCAUAGGCUGACAGGGAAGG
rnacentral:ribozyme from 1 species